CCUACGGGAGGCAGCAGUGAGGAAUAUUGGUCAAUGGGCGAGAGCCUGAACCAGCCAAGUAGCGUGCAGGAUGACGGCCUUAUGGGUUGUAAACUGCUUUUAUGCGAGGAUAAAGUUACCCACGUGUGGGUGUUUGCAGGUAUCGCAUGAAUAAGGACCGGCUAAUUCCGUGCCAGCAGCCGCGGUAAUACGGAAGGUUCUGGCGUUAUCCGGAUUUAUUGGGUUUAAAGGGAGCGUAGGCUGUUUUUUAAGCGUGUUGUGAAAUGUACCGGCUCAACCGGUGAUGUGCAGCGCGAACUGGAAGACUUGAGUGUGUUGUAAGUAGGCGGAAUUCGUGGUGUAGCGGUGAAAUGCUUAGAUAUCACGAGGAACUCCGAUUGCGUAGGCAGCUUACUGUCUCACUA
rnacentral:rRNA from 1 species